rnacentral:rRNA from 1 species
CAUCACUACGCUAGAUGCAUAUCAAUAAGCGGAGGAAAAGAAACUAACAAGGAUUCCCUUAGUAACGGCGAGUGAAGCGGGAAGAGCUCAAAUUUGAAAUCUUCAAGGUUUUACCUUGACGAAUUGUAGUUUAAAGAAGUGUUUUCUGUUGAAGUUUUGGUAAAAGUUCUUUGGAAUAGGACAUCAUAGAGGGUGAGAAUCCCGUAUUUGACCAUUAUUUUCAGCUGUGUGAUACACUUUCAAAGAGUCGGAUUGUUUGGGAAUGCAGUCCAAAAUGGGUGGUAAAUUUCAUCUAAAGCUAAAUAUUGGCGAGAGACCGAUAGCGAACAAGUACCGUGAGGGAAAGAUGAAAAGAACUUUGAAAAGAGAGUUAAACAGUACGUGAAAUUGUCAAAAGGGAAGCGUUUGACACCAGUGUUGUUUUCUCGAAAAUCAAUUAAAAAACUGUUGAUUGCUAGUUGUAUUAGACCUUAAUCAGCUAACUGUUUAGUUUUGAGCUUUUCUUUAAUGCACUUUUCAGUUAACAAGUCAACAUCAAUUUCUUUUGCUGUAAAAAAGCUUGAGGAAGGUGGCUUGAGAUUCGUCUUAAGUGUUUAUAGCCUCUUGCCUAUGCAGUCGGAGAGAUUGAGGUCUGCAGCGUAGAUCCUUCGGGGCUAAAUGCAUUUGUGCUAAGUUAUAGCAUUUUAUAGACAACUUGUUGACUAUGAUUUGUCUUGUAGCUUACUCGCUUAUGUUAUUUUACCUACGCUUAGGAUGUUGACGCAUGAGAUAUACGC